rnacentral:misc_RNA from 1 species
GAUGAAGAACGCAGCGAAAUGCGAUAAGUAAUGUGAAUUGCAGAAUUCAGUGAAUCAUCGAAUCUUUGAACGCACCUUGCGCCCUUUGGCCAUUCCGAAGGGCAUGCCUUUUUGAGUAUCAUGAACACCUCAACUCUUUAUGGUUUUCCAUGAUGAGCUUGGACUCUGGGGGUUUUGCUGGCUCACAGUCGGCUCCUCUAAAAUGAAUCAGCUUACCAGUGUUUGGUGGGUAUCAUGGGUGUGAUAACUAUCUACGCUUGUGGUUUUUCCACCAGGUAACCUUCAGCAGUGGAGGUUCGCUGGAGCUCAUAGAUGUCUCUCCUCAGUGAGGACAGCCCUUUGAAUGUUUGAUCUCAAAUCAGGUAGGACUACCCGCUGAACUUAAGCAUAUCAAUAAGCGGAGGA